rnacentral:tRNA from 5 species
CGGGGCGUAGCUCAGCCUGGCUAGAGCGCUACGUUCGGGACGUAGAGGUCGCACGUUCGAAUCGUGUCGCCCCGA